UCGACGAAGUGGGGGUGCUCCCGGUAAGACCGGGGGCUGAGAGAGUCCCUUGGAACCUGACCCGGUUAGCACCGGCGUAGGGAAGCUUCCGGCACCCGGAU
rnacentral:ncRNA from 2 species